rnacentral:rRNA from 1 species
AACGCGAAGAACCUUACCUACCUUUGACAUACUUGGAAUCCUGCAGAAAUGCGGGAGUGCCUUCGGGAACCAAGAUACAGGUGCUGCAUGGCUGUCGUCAGCUCGUGUCGUGAGAUGUUGGGUUAAGUCCCGUAACGAGCGCAACCCUCGUCCCUAGUUGCUAACAGGUAACGCUGAGAACUUUAGGGAGACUGCCGGUGACAAACCGGAGGAAGGUGAGGAUGACGUCAAGUCCUCAUGGCCUUUAUAGGUAGGGCCACACACGUGCUACAAUGGAAAGUACAAUGGGUAGCCAACCCGCAAGGGGGAGCCAAUCUCUAAAAACUUUUCGUAGUCCGGAUUGGAGUCUGAAACUCGACUCCAUGAAGUUGGAAUCGCUAGUAAUCGCGAAUCAGAACGUCGCGGUGAAUACGUUCCCGGGCCUUGUACACACCGGCUAC